UGGGUAGCAACCAGAAGCAUCAGCGACAAGACACACGACUUUAAUAUGGCGCUCAGUAGGGGGAAGGGCUCGCUGGACAGUAGCUCAUCAAUCAGAAGUGAUCUGGAGAAAUGUUCCCUCAACACACACGCCAGGGCUAACACGGUUAUUGUAGAGAAGAAAGAUGUCUAGGGUUCCUGCCCACCUGCAUGAACAUGCCAUAGACCUGCUGCAGGGAGGCAUGAGGACUGCAGAUGUGUCCAGAGCGAUAAACUACAAUGUCUGUAAUGUAAGACGACUAAGACGGUGCUACAGGGAGACAGGAAGGACAGCUGAUCGUCCGUGCAGUGGAAAAUUACAUGAAAGCGUGUGUCCGCCCCCCAUACGUGAUCGAGAACUUACAAAAGCCUUGGGGGAAGAGUGGAGGAACAUCUCACAGCAAGAACUGACCAAUCUGGUGCAGUCCAUGAGGAUGAGAUGCUCUGUAGUACUUAAAGCAGCUGGAGUCCACCAGAUACCGACUGUUACUUUUAAUACUGACCCCCGCUUUGUUCAGGAACUCAUUAUUCCAUUUCUGUUCCUCAAAUGUCUGUAAACCUUCUUCAGUUUAUGUCUCAGUUGUUGAACCUUUUUAUGUUAAUACAAAUAUUUACACAUGUUAAG
ensembl:lncRNA